rnacentral:rRNA from 1 species
GACGAACGCUGGCGGCGUGCUUAACACAUGCAAGUCGAGCGGUAAGGCCCUUUCGGGGGUACACGAGCGGCGAACGGGUGAGUAACACGUGGGUGACCUGCCCUCAGCUCUGGGAUAAGCCUGGGAAACCGGGUCUAAUACCGGAUAUGACUCCAUGACGCAUGUUGUGGGGUGAAAGCCUUGUGCGGCUGAGGAUGGGCCCGCGGCCUAUCAGCUUGUUGGUGGGGUGAGGCCUACCAAGGCGACGACGGGUAGCCGGCCUGAGAGGGCGACCGGCCACACUGGGACUGAGACACGGCCCAGACUCCUACGGGAGGCAGCAGUGGGGAAUCUUGCGCAAUGGGCGAAAGCCUGACGCAGCGACGCCGCGUGAGGGAUGACGGCCU